rnacentral:rRNA from 1 species
UACGUAGGGUGCGAGCGUUGUCCGGAAUUAUUGGGCGUAAAGAGCUUGUAGGCGGUUUGUCGCGUCUGCUGUGAAAUUUCGGGGCUCAACCCCGAACUUGCAGUGGGUACGGGCAGACUAGAGUGUGGUAGGGGAGACUGGAAUUCCUGGUGUAGCGGUGAAAUGCGUAGAUAUCAGGAGGAACACCUGUGGCGAAAGCGGCUCACUGGACCAUAACUGACGCUGAUGCACGAAAGCUAGGGGAGCAAACAGG